AAGUCUGAAAUAAAAAUUUAUAUUCAGUUUCGACCUGAAAUUAUGAUUAAAUAUUAAUCCUGACUUA
rnacentral:tRNA from 1 species